UGCAAGUCGAACGAAGCUUUCUUUCACCGAAUGCUUGCAUUCACCGAAAGAAGCUUAGUGGCGAACGGGUGAGUAACACGUAGGCAACCUGCCCAAAAGAGGGGGAUAACACUUGGAAACAGGUGCUAAUACCGCAUAACCAUGAACACCGCAUGAUGUUCAUGUAAAAGACGGCUUUUGCUGUCACUUUUGGAUGGGCCUGCGGCGUAUUAACUUGUUGGUGGGGUAACGGCCUACCAAGGUGAUGAUACGUAGCCGAACUGAGAGGUUGAUCGGCCACAUUGGGACUGAGACACGGCCCAAACUCCUACGGGAGGCAGCAGUAGGGAAUCUUCCACAAUGGACGAAAGUCUGAUGGAGCAACGCCGCGUGAAUGAAGAAGGCCUUCGGGUCGUAAAAUUCUGUUGUCAGAGAAGAACGUGCGUGAGAGUAACUGUUCACGUAUUGACGGUAUCUGACCAGAAAGCCACGGCUAACUACGUGCCAGCAGCCGCGGUAAUACGUAGGUGGCAAGCGUUGUCCGGAUUUAUUGGGCGUAAAGGGAACGCAGGCGGUCUUUUAAGUCUGAUGUGAAAGCCUUCGGCUUAACCGAAGUAGUGCAUUGGAAACUGGAAGACUUGAGUGCAGAAGAGGAGAGUGGAACUCCAUGUGUAGCGGUGAAAUGCGUA
rnacentral:rRNA from 2 species